rnacentral:rRNA from 1 species
ACACGGGGGGCGCAAGCGUUAUUCGGAAUUAUUGGGCGUAAAGGGCGUGUAGGCGGUUUUAUCGGUCAGAUGUGAAAGCCCAGGGCUCAACCCUGGACGUGCAUUUGAAACAGUAAGACUUGAGUACGGUAGAGGAAAGCGGAAUUCCUGGUGUAGAGGUGAAAUUCGUAGAUAUCAGGAGGAACACCGAUGGCGAAGGCAGCUUUCUGGACCGAAACUGACGCUGAUGCGCGAAGGCGUGGGUAGCGAACAGGAGUAGAAACCCGAGUAGUCC